AAAGACACAAAAAAGUCUCUUCCUCCUCCAAGCUCGUCCGAGCCCGUGUACCCCGCUGCUGUCGCCAUGGCCGCGCUCACCCAGAGUCCGCAGUUCCAGAAGCUGCAGAAAUGGUACCGCGAGCACGGCUCUGACCUCAACUUGCGUCGCCUUUUCGUGGGGGACAAGGAACGCUUCAGCCACUUCAGCUUGAACCUGAACACCAACCAUGGGCAUAUUCUGGUGGAUUACUCAAAGAACCUUGUAACCGAAACUGUGAUGCAGAUGCUGGUGGACCUGGCCAAGUCCAGGGGUGUGGAGGCUGCCCGGGAGCACAUGUUCAGCGGCGAGAAGAUCAACUUCACAGAGGAUCGGGCGGUGCUGCACGUGGCCUUGCAGAACCGGGCAAACACACCCAUUCUGGUAGAUGGCAAGGAUGUGAUGCCAGAGGUCAACAGGGUCCUGGAGAAGAUGAAGUCUUUCUGCCAGCGAGUCCGGAGUGGUGACUGGAAGGGGUACUCAGGCAAGCCCAUCACGGACGUCAUUAACAUCGGCAUUGGCGGCUCUGACCUGGGACCCCUCAUGGUGACUGAAGCCCUUAAGCCGUACUCCUGGGAGGAGGUCCCCAGGUCUGGUUUGUUUCCAACAUCGACGGGACCCACAUCUCCAAAACCCUGGCCACUCUGAACCCUGAGUCGUCCCUGUUCAUCAUUGCCUCCAAGACCUUUACCACCCAGGAGACCAUUACGAAUGUGGAGACGGCAAAGGAGUGGUUUCUCCUGUCGGCCAAGGAACCUUCUGCAGUUGCGAAGCACUUUGUUGCCCUGUCUACCAACACGACCAAAGUGAAGGAGUUUGGGAUUGACCCUCAAAACAUGUUCGAGUUCUGGGAUUGGGUAGGAGGACGCUACUCGCUGUGGUCAGCCAUUGGACUCUCCAUUGCACUGCAUGUGGGAUUUGACAACUUCGAGCAGCUGCUCUCAGGGGCCCACUGGAUGGAACAGCACUUCCGUACGACGCCCCUGGAGAAGAAUGCCCCCGUCCUGCUGGCUCUGCUGGGUGUCUGGUACAUCAACUGCUUCGGGUGUGAGACGCAGGCCAUGCUGCCCUAUGACCAGUAUCUACACCGCUUUGCGGCCUACUUCCAGCAGGGUGACAUGGAGUCCAACGGGAAGUACAUCACCAAGUCCAGCGCUCGUGUGGACCACCAGACGGGCCCCAUUGUGUGGGGGGAGCCAGGGACCAAUGGCCAGCAUGCCUUCUACCAGCUCAUCCACCAAGGCACCAAGAUGAUACCUUGUGACUUCCUCAUCCCAGUCCAGACCCAGCACCCGAUAAGGAAGGGUUUGCAUCACAAGAUCCUCCUGGCCAACUUUUUGGCCCAGACUGAGGCCCUGAUAAAGGGGAAGUCAACAGAGGAGGCCCGGAAGGAGCUGCAGGCCGCAGGGAAGAGUCCAGGGGCCUUGGAGAAGCUGUUGCCACACAAGGUCUUUGAAGGAAAUCGGCCAACCAACUCUAUUGUGUUCACCAAGCUCACGCCAUUCAUUCUGGGAGCCUUGAUUGCCAUGUACGAGCAUAAGAUCUUCAUUCAGGGUAUCAUCUGGGACAUCAACAACUUUGACCAGUGGGGGGUGGAGCUGGGAAAGCAGCUGGCCAAGAAAAUCGAGCCUGAGCUUGACGGCAGUAGCCCAGUGACCUCUCACGACUCUUCCACCAAUGGGCUCAUCAACUUCAUCAAGCAGGAGCGUGAGGCCAGAAGCCAAUAAACUCAUGCCCGGCUGCA